CCAGAGGGUCGGGCGAUCGCCGCUGGUGGGGUAUCCCGCCGGGGGAGGAAAGUCCGGGCUCCACGGAAACCACGGUGCCGGAUAACGUCCGGCGGUUCGCGCGUUCGUGCGGAUUAGGGAAAGUGCCACAGAGAGUAGAUCGCCAAAGGCUUCGGCCCGGCGAAAGGUGAAAGGGUGCGGUAAGAGCGCACCGCGCGGCUGGUAACAGGCGCGGCACGGCAAACCCCACCGGGAGCAAGGUCGAAUAGGGACGGUACGGAGCAAUCCAGGGUCGGUUCCGGCCCAGCCGUCCGGGUUGACUGCUUGAGCGUUCGGGUAACCGUUCGCCUAGAGGAAUGAUCGCCCAUCCCCUGCAAAGGGGUGGACAGAACCCGGCUUACAGACCCUCUGGCAAU
rnacentral:RNase_P_RNA from 1 species